rnacentral:piRNA from 1 species
UCAAUCAGCUUUAAAAAGGAUUUGGGGUUC